rnacentral:rRNA from 1 species
UACGGAGGGUGCAAACGUUGUUCGGAUUCAUUGGGCGUAAAGCGCACGUAGGCGGUCCAGCAAGUCGGGUGUGAAAGCCCUCGGCUUAACCGAGGAAGUGCAUUCGAAACUACUGGGCUUGAGUACUGAAGAGGAUCGCGGAAUUCCCGGUGUAGAGGUGAAAUUCGUAGAUAUCGGGAGGAACACCAGUGGCGAAGGCGGCGAUCUGGGCAGAUACUGACGCUGAGGUGCGAAAGCGUGGGGAGCAAACAGG